rnacentral:rRNA from 1 species
CAGCCGCCGCGGGAAUACGUAGGUGGCAAGCGUUGUCCGGAAUUAUUGGGCGUAAAGCGUGCGCAGGCGGUUCGUUAAGACAGAUGUGAAAUCCCCGGGCUUAACCUGGGAACUGCAUUUGUGACUGGCGAGCUAGAGUAUGGCAGAGGGGGGUAGAAUUCCACGUGUAGCAGUGAAAUGCGUAGAGAUGUGGAGGAAUACCGAUGGCGAAGGCAGCCCCCUGGGCCAAUACUGACGCUCAUGCACGAAAGCGUGGGGAGCAAACAGGAUUAGAUACCCCGGUAGUCCCUGUCUCUUAUAC